rnacentral:tRNA from 1 species
UAGAAAGUGGUGUAGUGGGAGCACUAGGAGUUUUGAUCUCCUGGGCAAAGGUUCGAGUCCUUUCUUUCUAA